rnacentral:misc_RNA from 1 species
UUUCCGUAUGUGAACCUGCGGAAGGAUCAUUACUGAGUGAGGGCCCUCUGGGUCCAACCUCCCACCCGUGUUUAUUAUACCUUGUUGCUUCGGUGAGCCCGCCUCACGGCCGCCGGGGGGCAUCUGCCCCCGGGCCCGCGCCCACCGAAGACACCUAGAACUCUGUAUGAAGAUUGCAGUCUGAGCAAAAACUAAAUAAGUUAAAACUUUCAACAACGGAUCUCUUGGUUCCG